rnacentral:rRNA from 1 species
GAUGAACGCUGGCGGCGUGCCUAAUACAUGCAAGUCGAGCGAACGGACGAGAAGCUUGCUUCUCUGAUGUUAGCGGCGGACGGGUGAGUAACACGUGGAUAACCUACCUAUAAGACUGGGAUAACUUCGGGAAACCGGAGCUAAUACCGGAUAAUAUUUUGAACCGCAUGGUUCAAAAGUGAAAGACGGUCUUGCUGUCACUUAUAGAUGGAUCCGCGCUGCAUUAGCUAGUUGGUAAGGUAACGGCUUACCAAGGCAACGAUGCAUAGCCGACCUGAGAGGGUGAUCGGCCACACUGGAACUGAGACACGGUCCAGACUCCUACGGGAGGCAGCAGUAGGGAAUCUUCCGCAAUGGGCGAAAGCCUGACGGAGCAACGCCGCGUGAGUGAUGAGGGUCUUCGGAUCGUAAAGCUCUGUUAUUAGGGAAGAACAUAUGUGUAAGUACCUGUGCACAUCUUGACGGUACCUAAUCAGAAAGCCACGGCUAACUACGUG